GGCCGCCUGGCGAAAUGGCAUCGCGUCUGACUACGAUAUGAGCACCCCAGGUGUAAAGCGGAACCUGAUCAGGAGAUUGCAGGUUCGACCCCUGCGGUGGUCA